CCACAACAGAGCAACUAAAAACAUAAAAAGGACUUCCAGAACUGCUUCAGAAAGUGGCAAGGACAAAGGAAUAAUUGUGUUCAAACAAUUUAGAUUUUUAUUUCCAUUGAAAUACUCCUCCAUCAUCUGAAACUCGAAGAAGUUCCAAAGGCAACUGGAAUGAUUGGGCGUCAGUGGGAUAAAGGCACCAAGAUUAGAAUAAGAAGCUCUAAAGAAGAACUCUAAAGCUAUUUCACCUGUUCCUGACUUGCUUACCUUCUCAGUGAUCUGGAAGACAUCGAGCUGCUGACACACGGAACAACCUGGGUAAAUCUUGAAUAUACACCAUUACGCUGAGUAAAAAAAGCCACACACAGAGGGAAACACUGUUGGAUUCCAUUUUUUAAAGGACAGUCUGAAAGGCAAAACUAUAGUGGCAAAAUUUAGACCAGUGGUUGCCAGAAUUGGGGAUGAAGGGGCUAACCUGGAUAAAACUGGGGUUAGUGGAACAUUUCUGGAUAAUGAAAAUGCUGUCCUGUUUAUCUUUAUUGUGAUUAUAUCUACAUGGUUGUUUGUAUACAUUCAUCAAAAUGUACAUGAAGAAUGGAGAAUGUUCUAUACAUAAAUUGUGCCUUGACACAUCCAAAAUACCUGACUUAAACAAUAAGCGUUAUCAUACCAAGAGUUAGACUGACAGGCCCAAUACGGUGGGGUUACUGUCUUGCCUCAUUGGAAUAAGACACUAUUAAUGCAGUUAAAACUAGUACUUGGCUUAGGGAAACCGUUUCACAAUUUUGUCUCAAAUCAAGCUUUUAAUCUGUUAAAAAAAAUCCUGUAUGUGUCUAGGUUUUUAAAGUAAACUAUAGUAAUACAUACUAAUAGUUUAAAGAUUGCAUUAUAUAUAUGUAAACCCAUUGUAUGAAUGUCACAAGAUCUUUUGGAAUCUGUGUUAUGCUAUGUAGAGUAUUAUAUAUUCCCUACAGCUUUGUGUGAUCCAUAAUUUAGUCAACAUGCUUUAUGGAAAGUAUUUUUCUGUGUGGAAAAAUCAUUCUAAAUCUGUUUUAUGCCCAGUUUUAUGG
rnacentral:lncRNA from 1 species